UAAAGAAAGAGACCUUAACCUGCUAAAUAGCCCGGCCAGCCUUGGGUGGUCGCCGGCUUCUUAGAGGGACUAUCGGCUCAAGCCGAUGGAAGUUUGAGGCAAUAACAGGUCUGUGAUGCCCUUAGAUGUUCUGGGCCGCACGCGCGCUACACUGACAGAGCCAACGAGUAAAUCAUCCUUGGCCGAGAGGCCUGGGCAAUCUUGUUAAACUCCGUCGUGCUGGGGAUAGAGCAUUGCAUUUAUGGCUCUUCAACGAGGAAUGCCUAGUAAGCGCAAAUCAUCAGUUUGCUUUGAUUACUUCCCUGCCCUUUGUACACCCCGCCCGUCCCUCCAACCAA
rnacentral:rRNA from 1 species